rnacentral:tRNA from 1 species
GGUUGUAGCUCAGUGGUAGAGUGCUUGCCUUGUGCGCAUGAGGUCCUGGGUUCGAUCCUCAGCACCA